rnacentral:piRNA from 1 species
UUUAAUAAAAAAUCAAAAAUG